rnacentral:lncRNA from 1 species
UGGGUCGGUUAGUUAGUGGGAUAAUAGGGGGACUUAGGAUUAUCUAUUACCCUUGAUUUAUUUCUUUUAUAAUUUUAUUUCUGAUUUUUCCCAAAACUCCUCCCCCUUCUCUAACAUUUUUUUUUCUUUUCUCUCUAUUCUUUUUUCUUUCUUUGAAAAAAAUUCCUCAUUUUCCACUCUGCAAUCUUUCGUUCCAAUUAAAACUGUGUGCCAUUGUUGUUUGACCGACA